rnacentral:rRNA from 1 species
GGUUAAGCGACUAAGCGUACACGGUGGAUGCCCUGGCAGUCAGAGGCGAUGAAGGACGUGCUAAUCUGCGAUAAGCGUCGGUAAGGUGAUAUGAACCGUUAUAACCGGCGAUUUCCGAAUGGGGAAACCCAGUGUGUUUCGACACACUAUCAUUAACUGAAUCCAUAGGUUAAUGAGGCGAACCGGGGGAACUGAAACAUCUAAGUACCCCGAGGAAAAGAAAUCAACCGAGAUUCCCCCAGUAGCGGCGAGCGAACGGGGAGCAGCCCAGAGCCUGAAUCAGUGUGUGUGUUAGUGGAAGCGUCUGGAAAGGCGCGCGAUACAGGGUGACAGCCCCGUACACAAAAAUGCACAUGCUGUGAGCUCGAUGAGUAGGGCGGGACACGUGGUAUCCUGUCUGAAUAUGGGGGGACCAUCCUCCAAGGCUAAAUACUCCUGACUGACCGAUAGUGAACCAGUACCGUGAGGGAAAGGCGAAAAGAACCCCGGCGAGGGGAGUGAAAAAGAACCUGAAACCGUGUACGUACAAGCAGUGGGAGCACGCUUAGGCGUGUGACUGCGUACCUUUUGUAUAAUGGGUCAGCGACUUAUAUUCUGUAGCAAGGUUAACCGAAUAGGGGAGCCGAAGGGAAACCGAGUCUUAACUGGGCGUUAAGUUGCAGGGUAUAGACCCGAAACCCGGUGAUCUAGCCAUGGGCAGGUUGAAGGUUGGGUAACACUAACUGGAGGACCGAACCGACUAAUGUUGAAAAAUUAGCGGAUGACUUGUGGCUGGGGGUGAAAGGCCAAUCAAACCGGGAGAUAGCUGGUUCUCCCCGAAAGCUAUUUAGGUAGCGCCUCGUGAAUUCAUCUCCGGGGGUAGAGCACUGUUUCGGCAAGGGGGUCAUCCCGACUUACCAACCCGAUGCAAACUGCGAAUACCGGAGAAUGUUAUCACGGGAGACACACGGCGGGUGCUAACGUCCGUCGUGAAGAGGGAAACAACCCAGACCGCCAGCUAAGGUCCCAAAGUCAUGGUUAAGUGGGAAACGAUGUGGGAAGGCCCAGACAGCCAGGAUGUUGGCUUAGAAGCAGCCAUCAUUUAAAGAAAGCGUAAUAGCUCACUGGUCGAGUCGGCCUGCGCGGAAGAUGUAACGGGGCUAAACCAUGCACCGAAGCUGCGGCAGCGACGCUUAUGCGUUGUUGGGUAGGGGAGCGUUCUGUAAGCCUGUGAAGGUGUGCUGUGAGGCAUGCUGGAGGUAUCAGAAGUGCGAAUGCUGACAUAAGUAACGAUAAAGCGGGUGAAAAGCCCGCUCGCCGGAAGACCAAGGGUUCCUGUCCAACGUUAAUCGGGGCAGGGUGAGUCGACCCCUAAGGCGAGGCCGAAAGGCGUAGUCGAUGGGAAACAGGUUAAUAUUCCUGUACUUGGUGUUACUGCGAAGGGGGGACGGAGAAGGCUAUGUUGGCCGGGCGACGGUUGUCCCGGUUUAAGCGUGUAGGCUGGUUUUCCAGGCAAAUCCGGAAAAUCAAGGCUGAGGCGUGAUGACGAGGCACUACGGUGCUGAAGCAACAAAUGCCCUGCUUCCAGGAAAAGCCUCUAAGCAUCAGGUAACAUCAAAUCGUACCCCAAACCGACACAGGUGGUCAGGUAGAGAAUACCAAGGCGCUUGAGAGAACUCGGGUGAAGGAACUAGGCAAAAUGGUGCCGUAACUUCGGGAGAAGGCACGCUGAUAUGUAGGUGAGGUCCCUCGCGGAUGGAGCUGAAAUCAGUCGAAGAUACCAGCUGGCUGCAACUGUUUAUUAAAAACACAGCACUGUGCAAACACGAAAGUGGACGUAUACGGUGUGACGCCUGCCCGGUGCCGGAAGGUUAAUUGAUGGGGUUAGCGCAAGCGAAGCUCUUGAUCGAAGCCCCGGUAAACGGCGGCCGUAACUAUAACGGUCCUAAGGUAGCGAAAUUCCUUGUCGGGUAAGUUCCGACCUGCACGAAUGGCGUAAUGAUGGCCAGGCUGUCUCCACCCGAGACUCAGUGAAAUUGAACUCGCUGUGAAGAUGCAGUGUACCCGCGGCAAGACGGAAAGACCCCGUGAACCUUUACUAUAGCUUGACACUGAACAUUGAGCCUUGAUGUGUAGGAUAGGUGGGAGGCUUAGAAGUGUGGACGCCAGUCUGCAUGGAGCCGACCUUGAAAUACCACCCUUUAAUGUUUGAUGUUCUAACGUUGACCCGUAAUCCGGGUUGCGGACAGUGUCUGGUGGGUAGUUUGACUGGGGCGGUCUCCUCCUAAAGAGUAACGGAGGAGCACGAAGGUUGGCUAAUCCUGGUCGGACAUCAGGAGGUUAGUGCAAUGGCAUAAGCCAGCUUGACUGCGAGCGUGACGGCGCGAGCAGGUGCGAAAGCAGGUCAUAGUGAUCCGGUGGUUCUGAAUGGAAGGGCCAUCGCUCAACGGAUAAAAGGUACUCCGGGGAUAACAGGCUGAUACCGCCCAAGAGUUCAUAUCGACGGCGGUGUUUGGCACCUCGAUGUCGGCUCAUCACAUCCUGGGGCUGAAGUAGGUCCCAAGGGUAUGGCUGUUCGCCAUUUAAAGUGGUACGCGAGCUGGGUUUAGAACGUCGUGAGACAGUUCGGUCCCUAUCUGCCGUGGGCGCUGGAGAACUGAGGGGGGCUGCUCCUAGUACGAGAGGACCGGAGUGGACGCAUCACUGGUGUUCGGGUUGUCAUGCCAAUGGCACUGCCCGGUAGCUAAAUGCGGAAGAGAUAAGUGCUGAAAGCAUCUAAGCACGAAACUUGCCCCGAGAUGAGUUCUCCCUGACCCUUUAAGGGUCCUGAAGGAACGUUGAAGACGACGACGUUGAUAGGCCGGGUGUGUAAGCGCAGCGAUGCGUUGAGCUAACCGGUACUAAUGAACCGUGAGGCUUAACCUU